rnacentral:tRNA from 1 species
GCCCAGGUGGUGGAAAUGGCAGACACACUACCUUGAGGGGGUAGCGUCAGCAAUGACGUGCGAGUUCAACUCUCGCUCUGGGCACCA